rnacentral:lncRNA from 1 species
UUUCUUUUUUUCUUUUUUCAGAACUAAAAACCUUCAUAUUUGAUACAAAUGAAUUAUUUUGCAAACUUACUGAAAAAGUAUAAGUUUAUUUUUUUCGUGUAUUUAUUUAGAAAUAACUUCACAUGUGCUUUGUACUUGAGGGCUUUGAUUAAAAAAAAUGAUUUUGAAUAAUACAUCAGACAAGAUUUCAAAUUUUAGUUCUUAAAGUUUUUCCUACAGAUUAAAAUGUAAGUUAUAUUCAAUGCUAAGUAAGUUUCGUUUUCUUUGAUUGAUCUAUAUAUUUCACACUGUUGCUUUAUUCUUUCCAUCUUGAAAACUUCUAAUUAAUGAAGUCGUCACUUGCCACCAAUUAAUGAAGCAAUGCUGCAUCAUUUUACACAAUGACUUGAUGCUAUGUAUUUUAUUUUAUUGAUUAACAUAAUUGAUAGGUUGUCAAUAAAAUCUAAAAUUAGUUUUCAAUGCAGUAUUGUUAUAAUUACGUUUUUUUCAAUUCUGAUAUGAUACUUAAAGUGCUUUUUUCACAACACAAGAUUCUUUUAACUGCUAUCCAAUGAAUUCAUAUCUCUAACUAUCUAUAUUUUGAUUCACCACAAUCACAAACUAGUUAAUAUGAAGUUGUGUGCCUAUCAUCAUCAACAUAUCCAAUUCAAUUGUCACCUCGCAUGACAUAUCUUUUAAAAAUUUGUAUCUUCUUGUUGUCCUCUUUGUGUAAAUAAUUUAACUUCUUAUGAUAUAAAUUUGAUGAAAUACUUAGAGCCUUCCAUCCAUUCAUACUACAAUGGUUUAGGGUUUUCUUUUCAAUACAUCCAUUGGUUGAUAUGAUGAUGCAACAAUAUCUAUCUUUCAAAAGAUUUAUGGGUCAUCUACAUAAACAAUCACCAUUUGUGUGUUUAUUUAAUAUAUAGUAAUUUACAUGCUAUAAUCUAAAUCUUCAUAAAAAUAAUUGAAAACAAAACUAAGUCAAUUUUUUGAUGCCAUGUUCUUAAAGAGUAUUCCGUUGGUUCAAUCAUUUAUUACCUUUUGCACUAGACUUUUUGGAUGGUCCAAGUUAUCAUUUCAAAAUUAUGAUUUUAGCAUAUUUGUGGUGGAGUUUUUAAAGAAAAUGUGGUUUAAAUUCCAAUAUGAAAUGGUGGUGAACUUAGAACCUAUUUGGAGUCAAUUCUAAACAAAUAGAAACAAUUGCAAGCGUCAUUAAGCUACAAAUGUUGGCUUGUAAUGUACCUCAUUAUUGAGCAUGUUUUCAUUUCAUUUCAAACAUCCAU